UACAGGGGGUGCAAACGUUGCUCGGAAUCAUUGGGCGUAAAGCGCACGUAGGCGGUUCGUUAUGUCGGAUGUGAAAGCCCUUGGCUUAACCGAGGAAGUGCAUUCGAAACUUCGAAGCUGGAGUCCUGGAGAGGAAGGCGGAAUUCUCGGUGUAGAGGUGAAAUUCGUAGAUAUCGAGAGGAACACCGGUGGCGAAGGCGGCCUUCUGGACAGUGACUGACGCUGAGACGCGAAAGCGUGGGGAGCAAACAGG
rnacentral:rRNA from 1 species